rnacentral:rRNA from 1 species
AGAGUUUGAUCAUGGCUCAGAAUCAACGCUGGCGGCGUGCCUAACACAUGCAAGUCGAACGCGAAAGGGGCUUCGGCCCUGAGUAGAGUGGCGAACGGGUGAGUAACACGUGGGUGAUCUACCUUCGAGUGGGGGAUAACGUCCCGAAAGGGACGCUAAUACCGCAUGACGUUCUGGGUUUAAAGACCUGGAAACCAAAGCCGGGGACCGCAAGGCCUGGCGCUUGAAGAGGAGCCCGCGUCCGAUUAGCUAGUUGGCGGGGUAAUGGCCCACCAAGGCGACGAUCGGUAGCCGGCCUGAGAGGGCGGACGGCCACACUGGAACUGAGACACGGUCCAGACUCCUACGGGAGGCAGCAGUGGGGAAUUGUUCACAAUGGGCGCAAGCCUGAUGACGCAACGCCGCGUGGGGGAUGAAGGUCUUCGGAUUGUAAACCCCUGUCGAAUGGGACGAAAGACCCGGGAGCUAAUCAUCCUGGGAGUGACGGUACCGUUAAAGGAAGCCACGGCUAACUCUGUGCCAGCAGCCGCGGUAAUACAGAGGUGGCAAGCGUUGUUCGGAAUUACUGGGCGUAAAGGGCGCGUAGGCGGCCAUCUAAGUCAGACGUGAAAUCCCCCGGCUUAACCUGGGAACUGCGUCUGAUACUGGACGGCUCGAGUAUGGGAGAGGGAUGUAGAAUUCCAGGUGUAGCGGUGAAAUGCGUAGAUAUCUGGAGGAAUACCGGUGGCGAAGGCGGCAUCCUGGACCAUUUACUGACGCUGAGGCGCGAAAGCUAGGGGAGCAAACGGGAUUAGAUACCCCGGUAGUCCUAGCCCUAAACGAUGAAUGCUUGGUGUGGCGGGUAUCGAUCCCUGCCGUGCCGAAGCUAACGCAUUAAGCAUUCCGCCUGGGGAGUACGGUCGCAAGGCUGAACUCAAAGGAAUUGACGG